CUCUGAACCGAGUGCCUUCUUACCCAAUCACCAUCCCGCAUUGUUUGACGCUUCAACGCCAGACGCAGCUGCUGAUUACAUGUCCACCAUAUAUAUAUGACAGAACCAGAUCCAGAACCCUGGGACCUUGAAUAAGUCACUCAACCUCUCCGAAUCUCUAGUGGAUGUUGUAAUAGGCCUGCCUCAAAGGAUUAUUCCGUGAUUAUGCAGCAAGCCAUCUCUCAGCACCGACCCCUCAGGCUCUAUGCUGGACACAUGUGUGGUGAGGAAGAGUGAGGCCCACAUUAGUAAGCUUGCCCAAGAUCCAUCACAAGAGUCAGCAAUGAGGAUUCAAAGCGGGUUGUCAGCUCCGAGAGCUUGCCUGUCUAAUGUCGGAUGUGUUGUGUGAAGCUUGGGCCUCCUGGAUGGGUCUAAAGCCCCUUGCGAUGCCCAGCACGCACUGGUGAGUAGCAGGCACUGCAGAACUGUUCUGAAUAGGAUGGAGGUUCUGUGUGAACAGCCAGGCAUCGAGCCCAAGAAGGCCAAGACUGAAUGGCAACUCCAGAGUGCUGGUUCCCCAGAAGGCCAGCUGGGUUUCCUGGGGCGUGGUCUAGUAGAGCCAGCCCCAAGAAAAGGAAACACCGCCAAGAGUACCUUUUGGCCACACUACCUUCCCAGGUCUCCCCCCACGGAGCUGUCCUAGUACCAUGGACGCUGCGCCAUGGCCCCCCCUAGUGGCCAGAGGGUCACUGAUGACAGCGGUGUCCAACAGAGCGCGUGAAGAUCUCAAGCACAGUGAGUUUCUCACCUGGCCAAAUUCUCAGGCUCCAGAGCAGCCCCCUCGGGUUAGAGCUAAAAGCCUCAAGUGAGUGGACCCGGCUCACAGCCCGGAGCCUGACAAGGCAGCCCUCCAUCACUACUCUGAGCCCCACAAAAAGAGACCCUUGGCUCCACCCGGAACACAUUUGAAGGGAAGAGGUGUUGCCAGCAGAGGACUCAAUCAGAGCCCCCUUUACAAUGGCCAGAAUGAUUCCACCCCCAUACCUGCAAGAGAGGGCUUAAGGCUGCAGGGCAUCUGCCAGGAAAUAUUAAAUGAUACCACUUCCCACUCAG